GCAUUUACACACGCACGCUCAGGCGCACGCGCGCAGACUGCACAAUGUAAUGACAGCCCGGAUUCCUCUGGUCUCCCUCAGAAUACGACGCUUCCUCUUGAUGUUUGUUGCAAGACAGUUAUGAGGGCAUCUUGAAAGGGGGUCUUUCUUUUUGUAGCAACAUGUAGAGUUUAUUUAACUUUUCAUCCUGCCUUUAGCGUUUUCGUUAUUUGGUGUAUUGCUGUUGUGGAUAAAACCAUAGCACAAAAAUAUGAGUUUUGUGCGUGGGGUAUUUUUUCCUUACGUCAAAAAUAGCCUACAUUCAUCCGUAACUUAAACGCAAUUCCGAAUAUAACUACAAAAGUUAACUAAUCGUGAAUGUAGUCAUGGGGGUAAACUUGAAUUUGCGAUAUCUAAACCAUUAACGUUUGGAUGAAUUGCUUAGCAUGAGAGCAGGUGAGUCAGUCUUCGUGUUUGUCUAGUGAGGCGACGCGCGCAUUGCCCACGGAUAGGACGAAGCCAAGUGUUGGAGAACGGUGGAGAACGGCGCAGUGAUCAGCGGUGAUCUGUGCUGGGGAUUACGCCUCCGAACACUGGGGAAAAGCCAGGCACGCCGAUAUGGGUUCUAAGCUGUGUGAUGGACGACUGGCGCACCUCCCACUCCUCCUGCUCCUCGUCCUCCAGGCCCUGCUGCUGCUCUGCUCUGGUGAACGCACCUGCCCCCACAGCUGCCGUUGUGAGGGGAAAAUCGUCCAUUGCGAGUCAGCUGGCUUCUCAGAUGUCCCUGAGAACAUCUCAGUGGGCUGCCAAGGCCUCUCUCUCCGCUACAAUGACCUGCACACACUGCUCCCCUACCAGUUUGCCCACCUCAACCAAAUCCUCUGGCUCUACCUGGACCACAACCAGAUCUCUGCUCUAGAUAGCCGGGCCUUCCAGGGGGUCCGCAGGCUUAAAGAGCUGAUCCUCAGCUCCAACAAGAUCUCUCAGCUCCACAAUGCCACCUUCCACGGGGUGCCCAACCUCCGCAGCCUGGACCUGUCCUACAACAAGCUGCAGAUGCUGCAGCCGGGGCAGUUCCACGGCCUGAGGAAGCUGCAGAACCUCCACCUCCGCUCAAACGGCCUCACCAACAUCCCCAUCCGGGCCUUCCUGGAAUGUCGCAGCCUGGAGUUUCUGGACCUGGGCUACAACCGUCUCCGGGCCCUCACCAGGACCACUUUCCUGGGGCUGCAGAGGCUCAUGGAGCUGCACCUGGAGCACAACCAGUUCUCCCGGAUCAACUUCUUUCUGUUUCCACGUCUUGCUAACCUGCGGGGGCUCUAUCUGCAGUGGAACCGCAUCCGAGUAGUCAACCAGGGCCUGCCCUGGAGCUGGCACACGCUGCAGAAACUGGACUUGUCUGGCAACGAGAUCCAGACCCUGGACCCAGCCGUAUUCCACUGCCUGCCCAACCUACAGAUCCUCAAUCUGGAGUCCAACAAACUGUCCAACGUGUCCCAGGAGGCAGUGUCUGCCUGGAUAUCCCUGACCUCCAUCAGCCUGGCGGGUAACGUGUGGGAAUGUGGGACAGGCAUCUGCCCACUGGUGGCUUGGCUGAGAAACUUUCGAGGCACUAAAGACACCACCAUGAUAUGCAGCAGCCCAAAGCAUCUCCAGGGAGAGAAGAUCAUGGAGGCUACAAGGAACAACGGAAUUUGUGAGGAAACAGACUACUUCCAGACAGAAACUCCUUCCCCGACACCAGAUUUCAUUGAGACGACACCCGACCCAACCCCUGCUCCCACCAGCCCCCCUCCACCCCUGGCUCCACCUACCACCCUGGCCCCCCUACCCCCACCUAGGCCUCAGCCCCUUCCCCGCCCGACCUUCCCAAGCCGGGUAGGAAUUAACCCCAGAGACUCCCCUCCCCAGGCUCCACCCUCCCUCCGCAGCCUGGUGGUGACUCAGCCCCCAGAGCUGGAGCUCAUGUCCUUCCACAAGGUAGUGGUGGGCAGUGUGGCGCUCUUCUUCUCCAUGUCGCUCAUCCUGACCGUCAUCUAUGUGUCGUGGAGGCGCUACCCGAACGCUGCACGACUCCUGCAGCAGAGCUCCGUGGUGGGCCGCAAGCGACGGAAAAAGAGCCCUGAGCCAGAGCAGAACCUGAGCUCCCAGCUGCAGGAAUAUUACAUGAGCUACAACCCGGCUGCCACCCCGGAGGGUUUGGAGGUGCUCGGCAACGGGACUGGGUCCUGCACCUGCAUCUCUGGCUCCAGGGAAUGCGAGGUAUGACCCGUCACAUCAGCCUUUAAAAACAAAACCCCAAAAGCAAAAACACAAAGGCUCAAGAAAGAGAGAAUGAAUACACGUGUCCCCGACCAUUGCCUGGAGCUUGGCUUGGAGACGUACCCACCAUUCACUAGAAGAUGUAUGUUUAACCAGCCCAUUGCGAACUAGCAGAGGAAUCAGGCCCUACAACACUACAGCUUCUCCAUUACCGUCUGUUCUGAUCCUACUAUGGCACUCUCUAGACGUCUACAGUAUGCCUCCACGAGCCCAUUGACAAUCUAAUAUAGGAGCAAGAAUGACUUUCAUGAUUUCUAUCCCACUGAAUAUUUAUGUUUUCUUUUCUUUUACAAGGUCUAUAUACUCUUUCUGACUGGUUCUCAGCUGCCCUGGGACAGUGUUCAUCCAGCUAUGACCUAGGUUGCUGUUAACGCACCGGCCACUUUAACCCUUUGAUUAGCCAAUUGUGCUAGUCCAGAUUGAGGGGGGUUGAAACACUUCGCGUCUGCAGCACCCCUCUGACCGUUGCCACGGAAACGUGGGACUCUGACUUGGCGUGUGACACAAUGAGCAGUGGAACCCUGUCACUCUGCUGGAGGCUGGCGAUGCGGAAGUGGGCCGUGGAGCUUAUGGAACAUUACAUCUAAUGAAGGUGACAAGUGGACAGGGCUGUGACCGCCCAGACAUUUCACAGUGAAGUUUCAGCCCAGCCAUUUUCCAUGAUUUUUCUUUGCUGUUGAACAACCCAUUAUUUGCAGCUGUGGUUUCAAAAAAUAUGAAUCAUUUCUAUUCCGUCGAGACGGCUACAAAAUAAGCUAUCCGCUGAUUUGCGGCUCAGAAGUAUUUAUGUGUAUUUUGUUUGCUUUAUAAGUUUACAGUGUGCACCUGUCUGUUGAGUAAUAUUUGAGUUAAGCUGUCAUUGUUCAUCUAGUCCCCUGGGGAGCUGGAGGUCGUUUUUUAAAAAGGUCUGAGGAUCUACUCUGGAGAACAACUGGUCCUCUUGCCAAUCACACCUGGUGGAGGACUCAGUCUAUUCCCAGACACACAGACAACUGUAAUUACACACCUUGGCCCAUAAUCAGGCCAGGAAAUAAAAUAAAAAGGUAAACCUGAGUCUCAAACUUCUCAACUGGAGUAUAUGUCUAUUUCAAGAACAAAAAAUCUACCGUCUCUCUCCGACAACAAAAGCCUUUAGGGGUGAGUGUCUCUGGGCUCUAUCCAGUCAGCGUGUUUUUAAAUUUAAAGGCAAUGUUCCCACGUUAGUUUAAACUGCGUUCACGGUAAACGCUGCAUAUGUCGACUCAAUCGUAAAUUACCUUUACAUUUUCAUUGUGCAAUCUGUAACGCUUCAGCAAUACAGAUUGAAUCCAGCCCUCUGUCUCGUGGGGACUGGGGAGGACUCUCUCUGUGGUUGUUCUGUCACAUUAAGAGAGGACAAGACGAUUUCACAGUGAAACCAUUUCAAAGAGUUCCCUCUGGGAUAAUACUCACUGAUAUGAGACUAUUGCCAUAGGGUCAGAGCACUAGAGGGACAGAUGUUCUAUAUCCAAUCAGCUCUUUUGUUUGUGUGUGUGUGUGUGUGUGUGUGUGUGAGUUCAUUAGUUGGAAUGAUGAACGUUCCACAGAGGAUUCCUUGGAUUCCUCUGUAAUCUUUGAAGAUGGACGAAGCCUCAACUCUCUCCUGUUCUUAUAGUACUACAGUGCUCUUCUGCCAAAUCAAUGUGCGUGUCUGUGUGGGCGGGUGGGUGUGUGUGUGUGUGUGUGUGUGUAUCUGUCGCGUGUCUUCAUGCAUGAGUGUGUUUGCAUUUCCUGAUAGUGUGUUUGAGCAAGAUACAGUAUUAUGUACGUGUGCCACAAAUACAGUUCAUGCCACUUCUAACAACUUAUGAGUAACGCUGAAUACGUGACAACAUCAAAAUCUCCUUAAAAGGUUAUGUCAAAUCCCAUUUAACACUAGAACCGCUGAGCAUCUCAGCGUACAAGUACACUCUUAAAAAAAUUUUUUAAAAAAAAGGUGCUAUCUAGAACCUAAAACGGUUGUUCGGCUGUCCCCAUAGGAGAACCCUUUGAAGAACCCUUUUUGGUUCCAGGUUGAACCCUUUUGGCUUCCAUGUAAAACCAUUUCCACAUGGAAAAAGGGUUUUCCUAAGGGCACAGCUGAAGAAGCCUUUUAAGUGUACCCACUAGAGAACGGUGACCCUUUGAGAUUCAUCUACUGUGAUGUUAUCAACCUAAAUACCUGUAAAUACCAACAUAGAAACUACUUCAACAUGUAUUUUAAAUACAUUUUAUCAAUUAGAUUAGUAGUAAGUACUAGAAUCCAUGAUCAGAUCAUUUUUUUACAAAGGACAUUUAAAACAUUCUGACAGCUGAACAAUGUAAAAUACAAAUAUGAAGGGAAAGUCAGCGAAGAAGCAGGAUGUUGCUUUAUUUUAAUUACAAAAUCAAAUGGCAGUGGGCGUUGCCCUUUGGCAGUUCCAGUGUUCAAAGGAUGUCUUACAUUUGAGUGUGCUUGUGUGUACAGAGAGAUUGAGAGGGAUGGGGGAGUCAUUAGUUUCACCUGUUUUGUUCUUCGUAUGCGUGUUCAAAAUGGGGUUGAGCUUGGAGGUGUUUUCCUCGUCAAAAGAGUAUUAAAUGGAUUUCUACACUGAAAAGAUAGCUAUUUUGUACUGUAUAUUUCUGCUUUCUCCCCCCGAACAUUUUAUAAUUAACUGUACUAUUUGUUCACUGAAAACUGUUCUGUUUUAUAAGAAAAUGAUGUCUGAGCCAAUGGUGAGCAAUAUAAAUUGAUAAAAUGGAAAUGUCAUUGAUCCUUUUUUUCUACCAUACUGUAAUGGAAACCAUAUACAUUUGUUACGGAGCUGUUCUCCAGCAUAUGGAUUUUCAGGGUGUACAUUAAAUAAUAAAACUGAAGGAAACGUGAGCAUGAGCACACCAACUAGAGAAAGUGUGAGUAGUCUUUGGAUGAGCUUGUUAGUACCCUGUGUAUCUGUAUGGUGUGUGUAUGCGUCCGUCUGCCUGUGUAUGUCCAUACGCAGUUACUACAGAUGUAUGAAGUUGUACGAUGAGCUCGUUGCACCUGCUAACUAGCA